rnacentral:rRNA from 1 species
AUGAUGCUACGUGGCACAAAUUUGGACAACAGCAUCAGUGUGCUUAAUGAAGAUGUUUAUGACAUAUUCGGGCUACGUAACGAGGGUGAUGAUUUAUAUGAUGAUGAUUUUGUGAGAAGGACUGUACUGGUUCUUAUGGGUACAGUCUUAGCACCACAAUCCACCAAGUUUGUUCCUUAUCGUUAUUACAAAAUGGUGGAGGAUGUGAACGCUAUCAAGUCAUACAGUUGGAACAAUUUCACGUUGGGGGUGUGCAUGAAUGCUAUUAAAAAUCAGUCAAAUAUCUUGAGAAAUUUAAGUGGCCUAUCGGGAACUUGGCUCUUCUUCAGAUGUGUCUGA